UACAUUGUACAUUCAUGUAUCUGAUCCUGUUCAGUUCCAUCCCCAACAGCUGUUUAAUGAGGUAUUUCUUUUCUAUUCCGAGUUCACACUGGACAACAUCUUAUUAUUGUCAUUUAUGCUGCAGACUGUAGUUGGACCGGUUUUAUUUUUAUUUUUAUAUAUUUUAUUGGGUGUACAUAUUGAUAUCGAUCGAAUGUUCUCCGUUAGGCUAUCUACGUGUAAUUAUCGGACGCGUCUAUAUCAAACUACAUUUGUAUUUAUUUUAACACACCGUUGCUCUGUAUUAUUAGACUGUAUACAAUUGAUAAAUGCCAGAAUGUGGCAAUAAGCAGGCUGUCUGAUGGUUUAUUAUGGUAUACAUUAUCUACUUAAUUUGUGCAGUCUGCGGAAGUUUGUUUACAUACACUAACGCCCAGAUCGUACAUAAUACAUAGCAUUUAGAGAGGGUCAAUGUACAAUGCCUAAAAAACUACUAAUUUUUGGAAACAAUAUCAACUCAAAAUGACAACAAUGAUGUAAAACUUUCAAACAUUUUUUCAAAGUUUGAUGACACUAGAUGGGCUUUCUGUUUCCAUUCGACCAUGGAACCAUUGUCAGAAAAAGGUUCUACCGAACAAGCAGGAGGCUUAUUAGUGAUAGAGGUUACGCACCUCACAUCUGGAUAAAGGGGUCGGGCUAACGACAAUAACAAUUAGUCUUCUCCAAACAUAGUGCGAUUUCUGUACGAGUGGACGCGAUGCAGAGGAGAAAGGGAAUAUCAAAAACAAUUGAUGACUGCUUACUGUUUGAAUACAAUUCCAGAACACCAAAGGUGGAAAAUGAAAUUUUGUGUCAUCUAACAGGUUAAGGAUUCCUGGUAAAAAUUCUGUAUAAUGUGGUGAUGUUAUCAAACAAGCCGGCUAUUUACUGUAAAAGUUCUGCAGUGAUAGUUGAUGAAACAACCUUUGUCUCCAUAAGCAAGGUUAUAAAUAAAAUUCUUUGCCAGCAAGUUUGGUAUAAUUUAUGAGCAUGAUAAA